AUUGAACGCUGGCGGCAGGCCUAACACAUGCACGUCGAACGAGUGGCAGACGGGUGAGUAAUGUCUGGGAAACUGCCUGAUGGCGGGGGAUAACUACUGGAAAAGGUAGCUAAUACCGCAUACCAUCAGAUGUGCCAAGAUGGGAUUAGAUAGUUGGUGGGGUAACGGCGCACCAAGGCGACGAUCCCUAGCUGGUCUGAGAGGAUGACCAGCCAAACUGGAACUGAGACACGGUCCAGACUCCUACGGGAGGCAGGAGUGGGGAAUAUUGCACAAUGGGCGGAAGCCUGAUGCAGCCAUGCCGCUUGUAUGAAGAAGGCUUUCGGGUUGUAAAGUACUUUCAGCGGGGAGGCGUUACCCGCAGAAGAAGCACCGGCUAACUCCGUGCCAGCAGCCGCGUAAUUC
rnacentral:rRNA from 1 species